GAGGGUACAUCUCAAGUGGCAGAGCGCAUGCUUAACAUGCAUGAGGUCCUGGGUUCAAUCCCCAGUACCUCCU
rfam:Camelus ferus unplaced genomic scaffold scaffold778, whole genome shotgun sequence.